UACGGAGGGAGCUAGCGUUGUUCGGAAUUACUGGGCGUAAAGCGCACGUAGGCGGCUACUCAAGUCAGAGGUGAAAGCCCAGGGCUCAACCCUGGAACUGCCUUUGAAACUAGGUAGCUAGAAUCUUGGAGAGGUCAGUGGAAUUCCGAGUGUAGAGGUGAAAUUCGUAGAUAUUCGGAAGAACACCAGUGGCGAAGGCGGCUUUCUGGUCCGAUUCUGACGCUGAGGCGCGAAAGCGUGGGGAGCGAACAGG
rnacentral:rRNA from 1 species